rnacentral:rRNA from 1 species
UGCAAAGGUAGCAUAAUCAUUUGCCUUAUAAUUGAAGGCUAGUAUGAAUGGUUUGACGAGAAUUAAGCUGUCUCUUUUUAACUAAAUAUAACUUUAUUAAGAGGUGAAGAAGCCUGUAUUUUAUUGAAAGACAAGAAGACCCUAUCGAGCUUUAAAGAAUUUAGUAGAUUUACCAUAUAUUAAUAAAAAAGUAAAGCAACUAAAUAUUUUGGUUGGGGCGACUGAGGAACAAACAAAGCUUCCUUUAUGCUAAUUAAAACUUACAAGUAUUGAUCCAAUUUAUUUGAUUAAAGAAAUUAGUUACCGUAGGGAUAACAGCAUAAUCUCCUUUGAGAGUUCUCAUCGAAAAGGGGGUUUGUGACCUCGAUGUUGGACCAGAAUACCCAGAAGAUGCAGCCGUCUUCAAUGGUUGGUCUGUUCGACCAUU